rnacentral:lncRNA from 1 species
GGCACUUAUGGGGCACAGAGUGACACGGCACAGAGGCGCUUAUGGGGCAGAGUUGAGCACUUAUGGGGCAGAUGAGACACUUAUGGGGCUCGGGGGCACUUGUGGAGCAGAGUUGGACACUUAUGGGGCAGAUUUGGGCACUUAUGGGGCACAGCGACAUUUAUGGAGCACUUAGAGGGCAUGGAGUGACACUUAUGGGGCAGAGUUGGUCACUUAUGGGGCACGGAGUGAUGCUUAUGGGGCACUUAUGGGGCAGAAGGACGCACUUAUGGGGCAGAGUUGGGCACUUAUGGGGCAGAGGGAGGCACUUAUGGGGCACAGAGUGACACGGCACAGAGGCACUUAUGGUGCAGAGUUGAGCACUUAUGGGGCAGGAGGAGGCACUUACGGGGCAGAUGAGACACUUAUGGGGCUCGGGGGCACUUGUGGGGCAGAGUUGGGCACUUAUGGGGCACAGGGGGCGCUUAUGGGGCAUGGAGUGACAUGGGGCACUUAUGGGGCACAACGACAACUAUGGAGCACUUAUAGGGCAUGGGGUGACGCUUAUGGGGCAGAGGGAGGCACUUAUGGGGCAGAAGGACACACUUGUGGGGCAAGAGGUCACUUGUGGGGCAGAAGGACACACGUGGGGCACAGGGGUCACUUAUGGGGCAGAAGGACACACUUGUGGGGCAGAAGGGCACACUUAUGGGGCAGAAGGACACAUUUGUGGGGCACAGGGGUCACUUAUGGGUUCGAAAGACACACUUGUGGGGCAGAAGGACACACUUGUGGGGCCCAGAGGUCACUUGUGGGGCAGAAGGGCACACUUGUGGGGCACAGGGGUCACUUAUGGGGCAGAGGGACACACUUGUGUGGCACAGGGGUCACUUAUGGGGCAGAAGGACACACUUGUGGGGCACAGGGGUCACUUGUGGGGCAGAAGGACACACUUGUGGGGCAGAAGGGGUUCACUUAUGGGUCUGAAAGUCACACUUGUGGGGCAGAAGGACCCACUUAUGGGGCACAGAGGUUCACUUAUGGGUCCAAAAGACACACUUGUGGGGCACAGAGGUCACUUAUGGGGCACAGAGGUUCACUUAUGGGGCAGAAGGACUCACAUGUGGGGCACAGGGGUCACUUAUGGGGCAGAAGGACACACUUGUGGGGCACAGAGGUCACUUGUGGGGCAGAAGGACACACUUGUGGGGCACAGGGGUCACUUAUGGGGCAGAAGAACACAUUUGUGGGGCACAGGGGUCACUUACGGGUUCGAAAGACACACUUGUGGGGCAGAAGGACACACUUGUGGGGCACAGGGGUCACUUAUGGGGCAGAAGGACACACUUGUGGGGCACAGGGGUCACUUAUGGGGCACAGGGGUCACUGGUGGGGCAGAAGGACACACUGGUGGGGCACAGGGGUCACUUGUGGGGCAGAAGGACACACUUGUGGGGCAGAAGGGGUUCACUUAUGGGUCCGAAAGUCACACUUGUGGGGCAGAAGGACCCACUUAUGGGGCAGAAGGGGUUCACUUAUGGGUCCAAAAGACACACUUGUGGGGCACAGAGGUCACUUAUGGGGCACAGAGGUUCACUUAUGGGGCAGAAGGACACACAUGUGGGGCACAGAGGUCACUUAUGGGGCAGAAGGCCCCACUUGUGGGGCCCAGAGGUGACCCUCCCCCCCCAGCCCCCCGGCGCCUGCAGGUCUUUGCCCGCCUUCGCCCGCCGCCCCCCGGCCAGCAGCUCUGCCUGCGCCCCACGGCGCCACACGGCCUGCAGCUCCUGCAUGGCGCGGGCAGGGAGCCCAGCAACUUCCGGCUGGACGCCGUUUUCGGGCCGCUGUGCCCCACAGCUGCCGUUUAUUCGGGGUCUUUGGGGCCGCUGCUGCCCCAGCUGUUGGCCGGGACGGAGCUCACCCUGCUCUGCUAUGGGGCCAGCGGCGCCGGUGAGUAGGGGGGCACCCUAUAAGUGGGGGUCACCCUAAAUACGGGGGCACAGCACCUAUGGGGUCACCCUAUAAGUGGGGGCACCCCAAAGAUGGGGGCGGCACAAUUAUGGGGUCACCCUAUAAGUGGGGGCACCCUAUAAAUGGUGGUCACCCCAAAGAUGGGGGGCACCGCAACUAUGGGGUCACCCUAUAAGUGGGGGUCACCCCACAGUUGGGGGCAGUGCACCCAUGGGAUCACCCCACAGAUGGGGGUCACCCCGUAUUUGGGGUCACUGCACUUAUGGGGUCACCCCAUACUUGGGGUCACUACGCUUAUGGGGUCACCCCACCUGUGGGUUUUCUCCCACCUUUGGGUGCCCCCCCCCACCUAUGGGUGCUGCCCCCCCCCACCUAUAGGUGUCCCUCCACCUUUGGGUGCCUUCACCCCUGUCCCCAUUAGGUGUCCCCCCACCUUUGGGUGCUCCCCACCCCCCCAUGGGUGCUCCUGCACCCCCUUUGGGUUCUCCCCCUUCCCACCUAU